rnacentral:rRNA from 1 species
UACGAGGGGGGCAAGCGUUGUUCGGAAUUAUUGGGCGUAAAGGGCGCGUAGGCGGUGCGGUAAGACACCUGUGAAACCUCUAGGCUCAACCUAGAGCCUGCAGGCGAAACUGCCGUGCUUGAGGGUGGGAGAGGUGCGUGGAAUUCCCGGUGUAGCGGUGAAAUGCGUAGAUAUCGGGAGGAAUACCAGUGGCGAAGGCGGCUUCCUGGCCUGUUCUUGACGCUGAGGCGCGAAAGCUAGGGUAGCAAACGGG